rnacentral:rRNA from 1 species
UACAGAGGGUGCGAGCGUUGUCCGGAAUCACUGGGCGUAAAGGGCGCGUAGGCGGCCUUCUAAGUCGAACGUGAAAUCCCCGGGCUCAACCCGGGAACUGCGUCCGAUACUGGGAGGCUUGAAUCCGGGAGAGGGAUGUGGAAUUCCAGGUGUAGCGGUGAAAUGCGUAGAUAUCUGGAGGAACACCGGUGGCGAAGGCGGCAUCCUGGACCGGUAUUGACGCUGAGGCGCGAAAGCCAGGGGAGCAAACGGG